AGACCCGAAACCCGGUGAUCUAGCCAUGGGCAGGUUGAAGGUUGGGUAACACUAACUGGAGGACCGAACCGACUAAUGUUGAAAAAUUAGCGGAUGACCUGUGGCUGGGGGUGAAAGGCCAAUCAAACCGGGAGAUAGCUGGUUCUCCCCGAAAGCUAUUUAGGUAGCGCCUCGUGAAUUCAUCUCCGGGGGUAGAGCACUGUUUCGGCUAGGGGGCCAUCCCGGCUUACCAACCCGAUGCAAACUGCGAAUACCGGAGAAUGUUAUCACGGGAGACACACGGCGGGUGCUAACGUCCGUCGUGAAGAGGGAAACAACCCAGACCGCCAGCUAAGGUCCCAAAGUCAUGGUUAAGUGGGAAACGAUGUGGGAAGGCCCAGACAGCCAGGAUGUUGGCUUAGAAGCAGCCAUCAUUUAAAGAAAGCGUAAUAGCUCACUGGUCGAGUCGGCCUGCGCGGAAGAUGUAACGGGGCUAAACCAUGCACCGAAGCUGCGGCAGCGAACGUAUCACCCAAGACAACUUUACGGAGUUGACGAUUGACGGAGCGAAGCGACGUCAAAGCGUUCAUUAAAGUCGAGUUGGCUUAGGGAUACGUUCGUUGGGUAGGGGAGCGUUCUGUAAGCCUGUGAAGGUGUGUCGUGAGGCAUGCUGGAGGUAUCAGAAGUGCGAAUGCUGACAUAAGUAACGAUAAAGCGGGUGAAAAGCCCGCUCGCCGGAAGACCAAGGGUUCCUGUCCAACGUUAAUCGGGGCAGGGUGAGUCGACCCCUAAGGCGAGGCCGAAAGGCGUAGUCGAUGGGAAACGGGUUAAUAUUCCCGUACUUGGUGUUACUGCGAAGGGGGGACGGAGAAGGCUAUGUUGGCCGGGCGACGGUUGUCCCGGUUUAAGCGUGUAGGUGUGUGUUC
rnacentral:rRNA from 3 species